AGAUCGUUUACCGUGAAAAAAUUAGAGUGUUCAAAGCAGGCAGAUCCAAUUUUCKGCCACCGAAUACAUUAGCAUGGGAUAAUGGAAUAGGACCCUGUCCUCCUAUUUUCAGUUGGUUUUGGCAGCGCGAGGACUAGGGUAAUGAUUAAUAGGGAUAGUWGGGGGCAUUAAUAUUUAAUUGUCAGAGGUGAAAUUCUUGGAUUUAURAAAGAUUAACUUCUGCGAAAGCAUCURCCAAGGAUGUUUYCAUUAAUCAAGAACGAAAGUUAGGGGAUCGAAGACGAUCAGAYMCCGUCGUAGUCUUAACCAUAAAMGAUGCCGACCAGCGAUUAGGAGACGUUGAAUACAAAACACCGCCAUCGGUGCGGUCAUCCUUGGCGUUCGSUCUUGCAAAAGGCCAGCGCGGGGGUGCUARGCCCCKUGGGCCCCCG
rnacentral:rRNA from 1 species